AUGUCUGUGGUCGUGGAAGUGAUCCAGGCGUGUUUUUGGCCUCGCCAUGUGGGGUCUUCGUCCCCCGACAGGUGGCGGAACCAGAGCCCCUGGCAAUGCAAGCAUGCGGUCUUAACCCCUGGGCCGCCGGGGAGACCCCGUGGACGUGAUCCCACUGUUAACACAGGAGACACCAUCAGUGUUACGUGUGGGAGAGGGCGGGUGCGUGCUCUCCCUGCUCUGGUCCUGAGUACACAGCCACACACUGUCCAGCGUGGACGCAGCGGUUCUCCAAAUGCUAUGCUCCAACACUUCCGUCACGUGAUGCCAAGAGCUGACUCAUUGGAAGAGACCCUGAUGCUGGGAAAGAUUGAAGGCGGGAGGAGAAGGGGACGACGGACGAUGAGAUGGCUGGACGGCAUCACUGAAUCCACGGACAUGAGUUUCAGCAAGCUCUGGGAGUUGGUGAUGGACAGGGAGGCCUGGUGUGCUGGAGUCCAUGGGGUCGCAAGGAGUCGGACACAACUGAGUGACUGACAACAUGCUAAAUAAAAUACAGUUGGCCUUCA
rnacentral:lncRNA from 1 species